GCGGCCGCGGGCAGGCGCAGCACCGGGAGAAGGCCCGCGAGGCCGGCAUCAGGCCCAUGGCGCGCCCGGUGCGGCGGCGCGGCGGGGCAGGAAUGCCCGGCACGCGCGCAGGCUCCUAGGCUCCGGAGGAAUGAAUGCCAGCAGCUCCCAAUGACGGUCCCUUCCAACAGGGGGGACGAGGACUCGCUUUAGGAGCUCCCAUUCCCCCGCAGGCUGGGAGGCAUGUGUUCCAGGUGGGGCAGUGGAGACCCAGGAAAGCCAGAGCUGGUGCUUCGGCCUUCAAGUAAGGCGUCCUGUGCAGCCCAGAGAGAUCCUGUGAGCGUCUCGCCCUAAUCCCCCGGAUCCUGUCUUCAUUUGAAAUGUUGAGAUUUACUGUAGACGUGGUAGGAGAAAUAAUGAUUCCCCCCUCCCCAAAUGUCCACAUCCUAACCCCUGGAACCUGUGACUGUGUUACCUCACCUGAUAAAAGGGAUUGUGCAGACACGAUU